rnacentral:tRNA from 2 species
CUGGGUAUAGCGCAGAUUGGUAGCGCGCUACCUUGGGGUGGUAGAGGCCGUGGGUUCAAAUCCCGCUACUCAGACCA